rnacentral:rRNA from 1 species
UGCCAGCAGCCGCGGUAAUACGAAGGGUGCAAGCGUUAAUCGGAAUUACUGGGCGUAAAGCGCGCGUAGGUGGUUCAGUAAGUUAGGAGUGAAAGCCCCGGGCUUAACCUGGGAAUUGCUUCUAAAACUGCUGAGCUAGAGUACGGUAGAGGGUGGUGGAAUUUCCUGUGUAGCGGUGAAAUGCGUAGAUAUAGGAAGGAACAUCAGUGGCGAAGGCGACCACCUGUACUGAUACUGACACUGAGUUGCUAACGCUUUGGGAGAAAACAGUAUUAGAUC